GACGAACGCUGGCGGCGUGCUUAACACAUGCAAGUCGAACGGAAAGGCCCUGCUUUUGUGGGGUGCUCGAGUGGCGAACGGGUGAGUAACACGUGAGUAACCUGCCCUUGACUUUGGGAUAACUUCAGGAAACUGGGGCUAAUACCGGAUAGGAGCUCCUGCUGCAUGGUGUGGGUUGGAAAGUUUCGGCGGUUUGGGAUGGACUCGCGGCUUAUCAGCUUGUUGGUGGGGUAGUGGCUUACCAAGGCUUUGACGGGUAGCCGGCCUGAGAGGGUGACCGGCCACAGUGGGACUGAGAUACGGCCCAGACUCCUACGGGAGGCAGCAGUGGGGAAUAUUGCACAAUGGGCGGAAGCCUGAUGCAGCAACGCCGCGUGCGGGAUGACGGCCUUCGGGUUGUAAACCGCUUUCGCCUGUGACGAAGCGUGAGUGACGGUAAUGGGUAAAGAAGCACCGGCUAACUACGUG
rnacentral:rRNA from 1 species